rnacentral:rRNA from 1 species
AGAGUUUGAUUAUGGCUCAGGAUGAACGCUGCGGCAGGCUAAUACAUGCAAGUUGAACGGUAACAUGUUGUAGCAAUACGAUGAUGACGAGUGGCGCACGGGUGCGUAACACGUGUGUAACCUACCUUAUACAGGAACAUAACGUUGAGAAAUCGGCGCUAACAUUCCAUAAUAUUAUUUGUAGGCAUCUAUGAAUAAUUAAAACUCCGGUGGUAUAAGAUGGGCACGCGUUCCAUUAGCUAGUUGGUAAGGUAACGGCUUACCAAGGCAACGAUGGAUAGGGGUUCUGAGAGGAUAAUCCCCCACACUGGAACUGAGACACGGUCCAGACUCCUACGGGAGGCAGCAGUAAGGAAUAUUGGGCAAUGGAGGCAACUCUGACCCAGCCAUGCCGCCGUGCAGGAAGACGGCCCUAUGGGUUGUAAACUGCUUUUAAUAGGGAUUAAAGUCGACUACGUGUAGUUGUUUGCAAGUACCUAUAGAAUAAGCAUCGGCUAACUCCGUGCCAGCAGCCGC